rnacentral:rRNA from 1 species
CUCAGGACGAACGCUGGCGGCGUGCCUAAUACAUGCAAGUCGAACGGUCUUUCUAUGGAAGCUUGCUUCCACUGAGAAGAUAGUGGCGAACGGGUGAGUAACACGUGGGUAACCUGCCCAUAAGAGGGGGGAUAACAUCCGGAAACGGGUGCUAAUACCGCAUAGUUUUCUUGAUCGCAUGAUUGAGAAAGGAAAGACGGCCUUUGUGCUGUCGCUUAUGGAUGGACCCGCGGCGUAUUAGUUAGUUGGUGAGGUAACGGCUCACCAAGACGAUGAUACGUAGCCGACCUGAGGGGGUGAUCGGCCACAUUGGGACUGAGACACGGCCCAAACUCCUACGGGAGGCAGCAGUAGGGAAUCUUCCGCAAUGGACGAAAGUCUGACGGAGCAACGCCGCGUGAGUGAAGAAAGGUUUUCGGAUCGUAAAACUCUGUUGUCAGAGAAGAACAAGUUGGAGAGUAACUGCUCCAGCCUUGACGGUAUCUGACCAGAAAGCCACGGCUAACUACGUGCCAGCAGCCGC